ACAGUCUGAGGACCGGAAAAUCUGCUGCCGGCCCGCCCGGUGAAAAGUCAUGGAAAAGGGCGCGAUGUGGGAGUGGCAGUCCCACCGGACUGU
rnacentral:ncRNA from 1 species